rnacentral:rRNA from 1 species
GACAGAGGGUGCAAACGUUGUUCGGAAUUACUGGGCGUAAAGCGCAUGUAGGCGGCUCUGUAAGUCGGAUGUGAAAGCCCUCGGCUUAACCGGGGAAGUGCAUUCGAUACUGCAGAGCUAGAGUAUCGGAGAGGGUCGUGGAAUUCCUGGUGUAGAGGUGAAAUUCGUAGAUAUCAGGAGGAACACCGGCGGCGAAGGCGGCGACCUGGACGAAUACUGACGCUCAGAUGCGAAAGCGUGGGUAGCAAACAGG